rnacentral:rRNA from 1 species
GGAGGAAAGCAGGGGAUCGCAAGACCUUGCGCUUUUGGAGUGGCCGAUGCCUGAUUAGCUAGUUGGUGGGGUAAGAGCCUACCAAGGCGACGAUCAGUAGUUGGUCUGAGAGGACGACCAGCCACACUGGGACUGAGACACGGCCCAGACUCCUACGGGAGGCAGCAGUGGGGAAUUUUGGACAAUGGGCGAAAGCCUGAUCCAGCAAUGCCGCGUGAGUGAAGAAGGCCUUCGGGUUGUAAAGCUCUUUCAGUCGAGAAGAAAAGGUCGCGACUAAUAAUCGCGACUCAUGACGGUAUCGACGGAAGAAGCACCGGCUAACUACGUGCCAGCAGCCGCGGUAAUACGUAGGGUGCGAGCGUUAAUCGGAAUUACUGGGCGUAAAGGGUGCGCAGGCGGCUUUGUAAGUCAGAUGUGAAAUCCCCGGGCUUAACCUGGGAAUUGCGUUUGAAACUACAAGGCUAGA